ACCAUUUGUUGAUCACAUGCACGGUCUUUAUCUCUGAGAAGAUAAACUAUUUACUUGAAUCCUGAACUUUCGGGAGCUUCAUUUAGAAGCUCUCGGAUCUGUGAGAAGAAAGAUGCUACAUCCAUUAUUUCCAGUUUUGGAGGCCCCCAGAGCAUCAUGCAGAUAAGUCUGGAACCAGACUUACCCAACUUUGUGCCCUUUGGUAUUAGGGGUGCCAGAGUAUAAAGGGACAGGGCACAAGAGAAGAUGGGAGCAGACUUGGAGCUGCUGCUGAAUUCCACCACCCCAGGUGGCAACACCUGGAGAAGAUCCAAUAGCAUCCCUCUGACUAGUGGAUUUGGGUGUUGCCCAUGUUCCUGGCGUGCGGAGAUCCUGCCCUCCGCCUGGUGGAGAUGGGGAGUGGGAUGGGCUCGCCAGGCGGAGAACACUCCUUCCAGCCCAGGAUGACACACACCUGACCCUGCAUGUCUUCUAGCAGUCCAUCUGGACCCGAAAGCAGCAAAACCAAUUGGUGUGCAGCAUGAUUUCUUGCUAAUUUCACCCCAUCCCUUACCCACUCCUUUGAAGAAAAUGAGCGUGCCCUGCACUCUGCCUUCAGAUCUUCUGCCAUGAGCAAUUUUGCACACUCGAAAUGGAAAUGUUUAGCAAUCAAAUAGCCUUGGGCCUUUUAUAUAUUUGUUUUUAUGUGCACAAAAAUUUUAGGUACCACAGAAACUUGAUUUCGUAAAUUAUGUGUUCUCAAUGGGUAAUAGUUUCCCCUUAAGAGGAAGAAAAUUGGUUGCUGAUGACUUUUGAAAAAAGCUUGCUCUUUCAAUAUAUAAAGCACAGGUACACAUAUGGUAUAUAUAAACAGAUACACAGUGCACAUAUGACAUUAAAAUUUGGUAAGUGGCAAGUGAUUGGGGGAAAAUUGUCUAAAAAAGGCUCUGUAGAAGUCAGAUAAUGGAAAAUAAUUAGAAGUUCUGCAGUAAAUGAGAGGUAACUAUUUCUUACACAUAUCUGAAGGUCUGGCAUUACUAAAGCUCAUUAUUGCUCGAAGCUUUAACAUGAAAUUUUGGGGCUUGGGGUGCAGUUUAUUGUUAGAACACUUAGUUAACACAUGAUGCCGUAGGUUAGGUCCCCAUCACCAUACACAGAACACAAAAAAGACCUUGGCACUGACAUCCAGCUAUCUUAAGGUUUUCUAAGUAGUAUAAGGUUUUCUAGCUAUUAUAAAGAGCCUGAAAAAUGCAUUCACUUCAUGUUAUUUACUUUGUUUCUCCUUCGGGCAUCAUAUCAAUAGUUAGUUGUAAUGUAAAUAUUUUGUAGACUAUCAGCAAGAGUUAAGAAACUGAUCCCCCCAACAAAUCUACAAAAUGACAUAAUGACAGAGCUACUACAAGGAACCAAUGUCUCCUAGCUCCUAAAAACUAGUGUUCUGUCCACUACUGAGCAAUAUCUAAGCUGAUUAAACUAAUGCAGCUUUCAAGUCAUUUGAGGCAAGGGAGAAUAUAUUGUCACAAAAUGUAAAACAAACUAUGAUUGACCAAAAAAAAAGAGCACAUGAGCUUUUUAAAAUAAGCAAAUGAAAAACUAAAGGCAACUGGCAUGUUGUGUGGAGCAUAGUCACAUUUUAUAAAUUCAAGAUUUUGCUCUAGUCCUGCUGUGGGCCUGAAAGAAUUGUUAGGGGAUCCACACUGCCAGUAGAAGAGAGGAAAAAAAAGGAGAAUGUUGGGAGUUUUAUUCCUCUUGGGGUAAGCGUAUCUGGGAUCAUUGAACCCCAGGGCCUUAGCACAUGCUAGGAAAGUGCUCUAUCACAGAGCUACACCCAGGCUGGUAGAGGCUGGUUUUAUUGGAAGGCUUUCUGAAAAGAAACAGGCUGCAGACAGAUAAUGUAGGUUAUAUGCUGUGGAAAUGCAUGGAUCCUGCUUAAUGUAUUAAAUAGUCCAGGGAGGGAAUGUUCUAGACCUAUUUCUCUAAUCCCCAAAGUCCUGAAAGCAAGCAGAGAGCUCAGUUAUCCCCUCAUACAUUGCUUUGUUGUAUAAUAGUUUUGAAAUUUUUUUAAAAAAUCAUAUUACAGUGUACAAAGUUGCAUCUGGUAGCUUAAAAUCAUGACACAUUGCAUUCAUUCAUAGAGGUAGGUGAAGCUUAACAGCAUACUUAUCUGGUAGGAGCUAAAUACGUAGAAAUAGCAAAGUAGACCAAUUAUAGGGAAUUGGACCUAUACGACAGAAGUAACAUAGGAAUGGUGUAUAUAGCCUUCCUGAGAUCAGGAAACUUGCCCAACUGAUCUGAGGACAUACUUUUUGUUGUUGUAGCAAGCUUAGGGUGUCUUUAGAGAAACUAUUUGGAAGCAAGAAAAAUAAAACUGUAGGGUCGUAUUACACAUAGUCUUAGAGGAAUUCAUUUUCAUCUCAAUUCUUUACAGUUGCCUAUGUACAAUACUCAUUUUUUCUCACUUUCCCUUUCUUGGGCCUCUAGUACUUGGUGUCUUGCCACUUUCUAAAUUGUACCUGGUGUGAAAGUAUCCUAUCUGCAGCUUACUAAAUACUGUUGCACCUCUGUCAAGUAAUUUUCUAAUUCAAUAAAAGUGCCAAUGUCAAA